GGCCGGAUGGUGUAGUUGGUUAUCACAUGUCCUUUACAAUCUAAACCUAGAUUUAAAACGGACAAGGUCCUGGGUUCGAGCCCCAGUCCAGUCA
rnacentral:tRNA from 1 species